AUGCACGCUGGCGGCGUGCCUAAUACCUGCAAGUCGAGCGAACAGACGAGGAGCUUGCUCCUCUGACGUUAGCGGCGGACGGGUGAGUAACACGUGGAUAACCUACCUAUAAGACUGGGAUAACUUCGGGAAACCGGAGCUAAUACCGGAUAAUAUAUUGAACCGCAUGGUUCAAUAGUGAAAGACGGUUUUGCUGUCACUUAUAGAUGGAUCCGCGCCGCAUUAGCUAGUUGGUAAGGUAACGGCUUACCAAGGCGACGAUGCGUAGCCGACCUGAGAGGGUGAUCGGCCACACUGGAACUGAGACACGGUCCAGACUCCUACGGGAGGCAGCAGUAGGGAAUCUUCCGCAAUGGGCGAAAGCCUGACGGAGCAACGCCGCGUGAGUGAUGAAGGUCUUCGGAUCGUAAAACUCUGUUAUUAGGGAAGAACAAAUGUGUAAGUAACUAUGCACGUCUUGACGGUACCUAAUCAGAAAGCCACGGCUAACUACGU
rnacentral:rRNA from 1 species